UACGGGGGAUGCAAGCGUUAUCCGGAUUUAUUGGGUUUAAAGGGUGCGUAGGCUGUGAGGUAAGUCAGCGGUGAAAUGCCCCCGCUCAACGGGGUGAAGUGACAUUGAUACUGCCUUGCUGGAAUGCGGAUGCCGUGGGAGGAAUGUGUGGUGUAGCGGUGAAAUGCAUAGAUAUCACACAGAACACCGAUUGCGAAGGCAUCUCACGAAUCCGCGAUUGACGCUGAUGCACGAAAGCGUGGGUAUCAAACAGG
rnacentral:rRNA from 1 species